rnacentral:rRNA from 1 species
GGGGCUUCCACGUCUUCUGUGCCGUAGCUAACGCAUUAAGCGCCCCGCCUGGGGAGUACGGCCGCAAGGCUAAAACUCAAAGGAAUUGACGGGGGCCCGCACAAGCGGCGGAGCAUGUGGAUUAAUUCGAUGCAACGCGAAGAACCUUACCUGGGCUUGACAUAUACAGGAUCGGGCUAGAGAUAGUCUUUCCCUUGUGGUCUGUAUACAGGUGGUGCAUGGUUGUCGUCAGCUCGUGUCGUGAGAUGUUGGGUUAAGUCCCGCAACGAGCGCAACCCUUGUCUUAUGUUGCCAGCACGUUAUGGUGGGAACUCAUGAGAGACUGCCGGGGUUAACUCGGAGGAAGGUGGGGAUGACGUCAAAUCAUCAUGCCCCUUAUGUCCAGGGCUUCACACAUGCUACAAUGGUCGAUACAGUGGGCAGCGACAUCGUAAGGUGGAGCGAAUCCCUGAAAGUCGGCCUUAGUUCGGAUUGGGGUCUGCAACUCGACCCCAUGAAGUCGGAGUCGCUAGUAAUCGCAGAUCAGCAAUGCUGCGGUGAAUACGUUCCCGGGCCUUGUACACACCGCCCGUCACGUCAUGAAAGUUGGUAACACCCGAAGCCAGUGGCCUAAACUUGUUAGGGAGCUGUCGAAGGUGGGAUCGGCGAUUGGGGACGAAGUCGUAACAAAGUUAACCGUA